rnacentral:rRNA from 1 species
GUGAGGAAUUUUCCGCAAUGGGCGAAAGCCUGACGGAGCAAUGCCGCGUGAAGGAUGAAGGCCUAUGGGUUGUAAACUUCUUUUCUCAGAAAAGAAUUAUGACGGUAUCUGAGGAAUAAGCAUCGGCUAACUCUGUGCCAGCAGCCGCGGUAAGACAGAGGAUGCAAGCGUUAUCCGGAAUGAUUGGGCGUAAAGCGUCUGUAGGUUGUUUAAAAAGUAUUCUGUCAAAGAUUAGGGCUUAACCCUAGAUAGGCAGAAUAAACUUUUAAGCUAGAGUUUGGUAGAGGCAGAGGGAAUUCCCGGUGGAGCGGUGAAAUGCGUAGAUAUCGGGAGGAACACCAAAGGCGAAGGCACUCUGCUGGGCCAAUACUAACACUGAGAGACGAAAGCGAGGGGAGCAAAUGGGAUUAGAUACCUGUGUAGUCC